UCGGUUAAGCUUGCUGGAGGUAUCAGAAGUGCGAAUGCUGACAUGAGUAACGACAAUGUGGGUGAAAAACCCACACGCCGAAAACCCAAGGUUUCCUGCGCAACGUUAAUCGGCGCAGGGUGAGUCGACCCCUAAGGCGAGGCAGAAAUGCGUAGUCGAUGGGAAACUGGUUAAUAUUCCAGUACCACUUAAUACUGCGAUGAGGGGACGGAGAAGGCUAAAUCAUCCAACUGUUGGAAUAGUUGGUUCAAGGUAGUAGGCAGAUAACUUAGGCAAAUCCGGGUUAUCAAUGCUGAGAGCUGAUGACGAGCACCUUUAUGGAGCGAAGUGAUUGAUGCCAUGCUUCCAGGAAAAGCCUCUAAGCAUAGGUACUAAGUGAUCGUACCCCAAACCGACACAGGUGGGUAGGGAGAGAAUCCUAAGGCGCUUGAGAGAACUCUGGUGAAGGAACUAGGCAAAAUAGCACCGUAACUUCGGGAGAAGGUGUGCCCCGAUUAUGUGAAGCAAUUUACUUGUGGAGCAGAAAGGGGUUGCAGUGACUAGGUGGCUGCGACUGUUUACUAAAAACACAGCACUCUGCUAAAUCGAAAGAUGACGUAUAGGGUGUGACGCCUGCCCGGUGCCGGAAGGUUAAUUGAUGAUGUUAUCUUCGGAGAAGCAUUUGAUCGAAGCCCCGGUAAACGGCGGCCGUAACUAUAACGGUCCUAAGGUAGCGAAAUUCCUUGUCGGGUAAGUUCCGACCUGCACGAAUGGCGUAACGAUGGCCACACUGUCUCCACCAGAGACUCAGUGAAAUUGAAAUCGCUGUUAAGAUGCAGUGUACCCGCGGCUAGACGGAAAGACCCCGUGAACCUUUACUACAGCUUUGCACUGGACUUUGAGCCUGUUUGUGUAGGAUAGGUGGGAGGCUAUGAAACCAUGACGCUAGUUAUGGUGGAGCUGACCUUGAAAUACCACCCUGACAUGUUUGAGGUUCUAACCUGGUCCCCUAAUCGGGGAUAGGGACAGUGUAUGGUGGGUAGUUUGACUGGGGCGGUCUCCUCCCAAAGAGUAACGGAGGAGCACGAAGGUAUCCUAAGGACGGUCGGAAAUCGUUCGGUUAGUGUAAUGGCACAAGGAUGCUUAACUGUGAGACAGACAAGUCGAGCAGAUACGAAAGUAGGUCAUAGUGAUCCGGUGGUUCUGAAUGGAAGGGCCAUCGCUCAACGGAUAAAAGGUACUCCGGGGAUAACAGGCUGAUUCCUCCCAAGAGUUCACAUCGACGGGGGAGUUUGGCACCUCGAUGUCGGCUCAUCACAUCCUGGGGCUGAAGUAGGUCCCAAGGGUAUGGCUGUUCGCCAUUUAAAGUGGUACGCGAGCUGGGUUUAGAACGUCGUGAGACAGUUCGGUCCCUAUCUGCCGUGGGCGUUGGAAAUUUGAAGGGAGCUGCUCCUAGUACGAGAGGACCGGAGUGGACGUACCUCUGGUGUACCGGUUGUCACGCCAGUGGCAUUGCCGGGUAGCUAUGUACGGAACUGAUAACCGCUGAAAGCAUCUAAGCGGGAAGCAGGCCCUAAGAUAAGAUUUCCCAGACCUUUAAGGUCUCGUAAGGUUCGUUGAAGACUACGACGUAGAUAGGCAGGGUGUGGAAGCGCAGUAAUGCGUGUAGCUAACCUGUACUAAUUAACCGAGAGGCUUGAUC
rnacentral:rRNA from 1 species